UUCCCUUCUUGGCUUCUGGGCUUCUGCAUUCAUCUGGGAGACUCACUGGCUUGCCUCCUGUCCAGCCUUGUGGCCUUCCCUCACCAAGGUGGAGCAGGAAGUCCCGCUGCUGAGUCUUGAGCUGUUUCUAACACGAUCAUCAGCGCCUCUCCCGCUGGCAAGUGAUCUGCCUAUAGGGGCUUAUAAGAAAACUGUUUCCUUCUUCAUUCUGACCUCAAACAUCCUGAGCCAAGUAUUUGCUAUUCUGCUGAGGGUUCUGUGUUGGAAGACGAGCUUGAAUUUCCUCAGCGGCUUCCCGAAGUCUCCACCUGCGGACAUGAUGGAGCCGGAGGAGCUGCCGCCGCCUCAGCCCAGAGACCUCCCAGACCGACGCUGCUCCAACCGGCUGAGGGAAAAAGCGAGAGGAAGGGCAGGCGCCGAGCAGGGCCCGGCGGAGGAGCAAGGUUGGAGGGCAGGCCCCCUCCACAGACUGGCAGCCGUCGCCUCCGCCGCCUCCCAGCAGAGUCGCCUAGCACCAAGCGAGGCCUGCGGCUGGGAAGGGAAAGAGGGCGGGUGUCGAAGGAGCCAAGUGUGUGCUCGGGGUUCCCAGGGCGGGCUUUAGUUCCUACCACAGCACCCGGCAGGGCAACUGGGAUCAGAGAAGCGGAGAGUGGCAAAGCCGGAGCCCGCAAACGCGCCUGGGAACCUGCUGAGUGCGCGAGCCUGUGGCGCGGCGCGGGGCCAGCCCGGGCGCGAGCCUUAAAACACUUUUUUAUUUUUAGCCAAAGGUUCAGUGCCCUAAUGGUGGCAUUCGGUGAACCUGCAAUGCAGCAGAGGGGUGCUUCCAAAAGUCCACUGGAACGUGAUGACUUCCUUCCAAGGGAAGCAUUGGUUUGGGAAUCCACCCCAUGGCCAUUGCCACUUUCUUACUCCAUUUCAAGCCUUUGCCUGAGAGCUGGUUGCUUCAUUCAUUUCACAAAUAUUCACUUGUGUACCUACGAGAUGCGAGGGUACUACACUAAGCAUUGGGUUUACAGUGGUGAGGAAAACAGGAACAGUUCUUUCCUUAAUAGAACUUAAAAGCUGGUGGGAGUGACAGUUAUUAAACACACAGUAGCAUUUCUAAAUAAAAAAUUACACACUCAAAGAGGGUUAUAAAGAGAGAACAGGGUAUUACGAGAGGGAAAAUCAUGGAGACUGAAUUUAAAUGGUGGGUGUGUCUCUGCAAAGGCGGAAGGAGGAGCUGGCAUCCACUAGAUGAGUGAGAGGAAAGGCAUUAUGGCAGAGGGAAUUGAACAUUCAAACACUCAGAGUCUGGAAACAGAUGGAAAGAAGACAAGACUGGCUGGCGUGGCUAAGGGAGACAUGAGGUGAGUUGGGUGGCACUGAAGUGGGGACAGGAAGCCAUGUGAGCAGGAGGUAUAGAGUCUGGGUCCUGACCCAGUUCACAGGAAAGGAGGAGACCCUUCAGCACCCAGGCCUGCUCCCCCACCAGCCCACUCCCCACCUUAGAGGAAGGCCAGUGAGGCUGAUAGCAUGAGGGAUGAGGGAGAAUCUGGAACUCAGUGCCAGAUAAAGCUGGUUUAGCUCUGGCUCCAUUCGUUGUUGCUCAGGAAGUUAACUGCCCUGAGCCUUCAUGUCCUCGCCAUAAUGGGGGUGUGCUGUCUAUUUCCUGCUGGACCCUCCAGUUCCCCUUUCCACCCCUCUCAGCCCUGCUCAUGCCCCUGGAGGCCGCUUUGCAUGAACUGCAACCAGGGGUCCCUUUUCCCUUGGCCUGGCCAAUGGGAGGUCUGGUCAUGAGACUGGGGGUCAGGAGGAGAGUGAGGGUGAGGACUGAUUCCCUGUGUCCCCUCCCCACUGCGUCACCUGCAUUGCUCUCUGCCUCCUGAUACCCUCCUGCACCCACCAAGUCUGUAUUCUGGCGUCUGCCCUCUCCUGUCCCCUGCUAUUGCUAGCCUUGUGCUGCUUCGCCGUGCCUUGUUGGUUUCCCCGAACUGCUCCAAUCUUUGUAAAUAGUCCCCUCAAUGAGGGUGUUAUCCACCUGCCCUGCCCACUGCACAGGGCCGUUGUAAAGCUUCAAGGAGUUAGGAUUUGUGUAAGUGCUUUGCAAACUCUAAUGUGAGACAUGAUGAUUGCUGCAUUUGUGUUCUCCUUGGGGCUGUGUAUUCUGUUUGUUCAAUGGGGUAGGAACCAGGGACAUGUCACUCAGAUGUGUGUUUCCAGGCUCCAGCACUAAGUUGCUAAAGACCUGUGGGGACUGUCCUCCAAUAAACAGUGAGGGGCAUGCCUGAGCUGUGGUCGCCUGCACUACUUCUCUGGGUAUUAGCUCACAUGUCAAGCAGGAGGCUGAUUGGAGGCCAGCAGGCUGGGGCCAAAUUCUAGUGCCUCCUUUUUCUACCCAUGUGACCUUUGGCAGCUCAUUUAACCUUCCUGAGCCUCAGAUUCUCACCUAAAAACAGGGACCAUACAAUCUAACACACACCACAGGGCUGUCACUAAGAUUACCUAGAAUGUUGGCAGUAGUGUUUGGCACAGUGUAAACCUUCAGGGAAAUAUAGUUACCACCACUCUGUCAGUAACCAGCUGUGCAACCUUGGGCAAGUCACUUUACUUUUCUGGGCCUCAGUUAUCUUCUCUCUAAAAUAUAUCCAGAGUGACUGUAUCAGUGUGUCAUUGCUGUGUAACAAAUUUCCACAACUUUAGUGGCUUAAAGCACACAACUUUGCUAUCUCACCAUUUCUAUGGGCCAUGAGUCCGAGCACAGCUUAACUAGGUCCUCUGCUUGGGGUCUCACGAGGCUCGAUCAAAGUGUCGGCCAGGCUACCUCUCCCCUGGAACUCAGGGUCCCCUUCCAAGCUCAUCCCGCUUGUUGGCAGAAUCCAGUUCCUGGUGGCUGUGAGACGGAGGACCUCAGCUACUGGAGGCUUCCUCUAGGUGGCUCAGAAAAUGGCUGUUUGCGCCCUCAAGGCAAGCACAAUGGUGUCCCCCUCUUCAAGAAGUGCUCAGUUCCUCUCUGAAGAGCUUUCCAGAUUCAGUCAGGCUCACUCAGGAUAAUAUCCAUUUUGAUUAACUCAAAAUGAACUGAUUUGGGGCCCUAAUUACAUCUGAAAAUCCCUUUACCUUUGUCAUAUAAAGUAAUGUAGUCCUGGGUGUGAUAUCCCCAUACCUUUGCCACAUCAUUUUGGUUAGAACAAACUAUGGGUUCCACCCACACUCAAGGGCAUAAUGCUGGGGGUGGGGGUGAGGUGGAGAUCAUGGGGCCAGUUCAGAAUUCUGCCUACAAAGUGAAUUCUUCUACUGACCUGCUUGAUGUCUGUCUCCCACAGACUGGAAAGUUCCAGGAGGGCAGGAACUGAAUGCCGUCUUGCAUGCUGCUUCGUUCUCAGAAUCUAGAAUACUGUAGGUACCCAAGAAAUGUUUGCUGACUAUUGCAUUUUAUUUUAUCAUCUCUCAGGUCCUCUUCAUUUAAAUUCACAGAUACAAGAAACAGGCAGUGGGGGUAGGGGUGGUAGGAAGUACUGGGGAGCAGUAGCCUGCCCUGGGGCUGGCCAAAGUCCAGGUGUCCUUUCAACUUCACUCCUUCUCUCCCUCCUUCAUCCCCAGGGCUUGACUGGGAAGUUAGGAUCAGGGGAAGGGAAGAGACAAAACAAUAACCUUCCCCACUGUUCCUUCAUGGAUCCCUUUAUCUUUUUGUUUCUUCAACUUUAUUGAAGUAUAAUUGACAUACAAUAAACUUAACAUAUUUAAAGUGUUCAACUUGAUGAGUUUUGACAUACGUAUAUUCCUAUGAGACCGUCACCACAAUCAAGAUGACGAACAUAUCCAUCAUCCACCAAAGUUUCUUCAUGCCUCUUGGUAAUUGUUUCCUCCUGCAGCGCCCCUCCCCCAAUCCCCAGGCAACCACUGAUCUGCUUUCUGCCACUAUAGGUUCAUUUGCAUUUCCUGGAAUUUUAUAUAAAUGGAAUUGUACAGUAUGCACUCUUUUGUGCCUGCCGUCUUUUACUCAGCAUAAUUAUUUUCACACCUA